GUUUUGUUUGCCCGUUUGUGCUUAUACAUAUCACAGUGGAUUAAGUUUAGGGGGGAUUGGUUAUAUAUGUCGCCCCUAAAAUUCACUGUGUAAUCUGUUGCGGCUGUGUGGCGCAUGUGCUGUUUUGUAAUGAAAUCGACAAAGCUGUGCUUAUUGUUUGUACUGUAAAACGAAAGUUGAUGUUUGACAUAUGAUUGAUGUGUCUGUGGAUCACAAUCGUUUAAGUUGACAUAUCUUAAAGAAGAAAAAAUAUUUAGAUUUUGUGUGAGCUGUAAAAAUUAGUUCUUUCACAUAAAUGGUUUUGCGUGCUUUUAAUUUAAAUUCCGAUACGCACGAUUUUACGCGAAAAAUGACCAUUUCGGAAACAUGGUUAAGAAUUGUAAUUUGAUCAAGGUUGAAUCAAUGAAAGUUUGAUGAGCUUUGUAGGUUGGUUUAGUCCGCAUAGAUUUUGCCAUACCAUUUCUUACUCAUGAUGACCAGCCAAAUCACAAUAUUGAAAAUAAAUUAAAGCAGAUGCGGACACGAAGAGGCAGAGAAUCAAGGAACCAAAAAAAAUAGUGGUGUGUGGUGAUGGACGGAACGUAAAAUUUAUAAUUAUAGUUUAGAAACAAAGCAUUAUGAAAAAAAAUAGUAAAAAUUACAUUUUAUUGUAAGCUAUGCCAAACACCCAUACUAUCCUUGCAGUAUGACUGAAUAAAUAUAAUAAGUAGAAUCAGGAUCAAAACCGCUGUUUAAUAAUAAAUUUUAUUUUGAUUCUUUUGCAGUAUUAGUUUAGAUCUAUAGUAUUUCAAUAUCAAAUAGCAAAAUGAAAACUUUAUUUGUGAAGCUACACCGAUUUUGAUUUGCAUUUAGGCCAAAGUUUUAGUAUAAGUAAAUUUCGACAUUUUAUUGGGAUAAGGGAUGUAAAAUAAUAAUAUUAAUCAUAGUCAUAAGAAAGAGAGAUAGUCUGGGUACUGCCGUGAUUGAGCUCCACUCCGGUAUCUGACUCGCGUUCAAAAAUUUUCUAGUGCCCAGUCUACUUUUAGGGGGACCAAAAAUUCAAAAACAGGCGGGAAGCUUUGUAUGCUAGGUACUUUGCAGAAGUUUACCUGGAUUUUUGGUAUUAUAAACUAUGGUUGGAGCUAAUUGUUCAGUGUGUGGUUGCUCUAGCUCCCGUAGAACAAGUGGAAUUUCUAUUUUCAAAAUUACUCAAGCGAAUGACGAGUACAACGCAUCCUGGAGAGACAAGCUAGUCGCUGUGAUAAUCAAAGAUCGCGUUAUUGAUAAACAGUUGAGAGCACAAAUAGAUAAACGUAAUCUGUAUAUUUGUGAGAAGCAUUUUCUACAAAGCCAGAUAGUACAACGUAAGUGUGAUUCAAUACACUUUCAGAUAUUUCAACUACAGAAAAAGGAUAUUUUACAUAUAAUAAUCACGACUGUGAUAAUAAUGCAUAUAUUAUACUUUCUUCUAGAUGAUAAAGGAAAAACACUCCUGGUUCCAUACCAACAUUGAAUUUUCCAGAGAAAAGUAUUCCUGCUUCAAGCACAUCAGUCAAACCACGACCUUCAGCAAAAAAUAUUGCAGAGAAAAAGUUAAAUAUAACAGUGGAACCGACCACCCAUAUAUGCUAUCAAUCGUUCGAGAAUUUUGUAAAUCGAGCCAAAAUGCUUAAGCUUCCUUGUGGUUAGAAUUUGGAUAUAUCUGCUGCUGAUGCAGUAAAAUUUUAGGCAUGUGACAAUAUUCAUGUCAAUCCUAAGUUGGAAAUAUAUGUUAAUGACUCAUUAUCAUUCACUAUCCGUGGAUACACUUGGAGUCUUCCUGACCAUCACAAUAUUUAUAAACUUUAUAAACGAUCAGUCCGAAAUAUCACUUUAUCAAACUUGAUCAGAGAGAUUUCGAAAUAUCAAAAUUGUCCUGGGGUUACCGAUUCAUCCAUUUCCCAAACAUUGUACUUCAACAAACACACCAUCUCCAAAAAAUUCACAAUACAUUCAGAUGAAAGUCAAUUACAACAAACCGUAUUCAUUCAUUCUCUGGAUUGCAUGUUAUUGAAUUUAUUUUGUUUGAAAAGUAUAUCAUGUUUUUUUUCGAAAAAUAUUGUCGACCAUCUCUACGGUUUUAGCAUUGGAAGAUAAAUCAUAUUUUAUUUCCUACUUAACAUAAAUUUUCCUGAUUACAGUUGGAUGAUAUUUUUUUUAUCAAGUAGUACCCCCGGUAGCAUAAUUAAACAAAAUGCCAGUGAAGGUUUUUUCAACCAUAAAAACUUAGUUGAAUAAGGAGCAAGUAUUGCUUGAUCCUUUAUGACUCUCAGAAUUUGACCUGGACAUAGUUAUGAUCAUAUUCAUACUAGCUACAAUUUUUAGUAUAGUAUAUAUUUAAAAAAAAUUGUGAAAACAUCAGAAAUUCAAGAUCGGAAACUACAGCUAGCUCACUAGCUAUAGCUAUGCCAGCAUAAUGAUUUUUUAUAAAUGUGUAGCUAUAAAAAUAGCUGUUUUUUAUGUGAUAGCCAUUUUAAUAAUGACCUUGAUCCAGUGAGGAUGUCUUUUUCUUCAGCUCAGUGCGCAGUGAUUUUGAUUUCUUAGCAUCAGAUGCUAUUUUGUGUAAUUGCUGUUUAUCUUUGACAUAAGAAAAAGUUCUUACUUUGACAAACAACAAAAGCAGAUCUUCUAACAAGUUCAAAGAAACCUCUUUAUUCAACGACUCAGUGCAAAGCUGCAGAAUUUUGUUGAAAUUAGACUUAACAUCAAAAUUCUUCAUCAGACAAGAAACUAUUUCUUUACUGUCAAUUUUGCUGCAGCUUUUGCUGGUGUAUGAACGAAAAAGUUCUUCAGCAGAUGUAAAUAUUAAAACCACUUCCUUUUUAACCUUCCAUAAGCCACCACGGUUCCUAGCAUUGACUAAUUUGUUUUGUGGUAUAUCUUGUGUGUCCUCAGAUUUUCCUGCCAACAGGAUAGCUAGAUAUUGUUGGUGGUAUAUGUGUUGUGAGGUCUUUCUUGACGAGAAGCGUAUACGACGAUACAUGGUACUGAAGACAUAUCCACCAAGAUAAGAUAUCACAGAUAGUUCUUUCUCUGAAAAGGUGUAUGAUGACUUAUUUGACACUUGCGGAAGAUCGUCUUUGUAUGUUGAACCAGACAAGUGACACAAAACUAGAUUUGCUAAUUCAAAUCCCAACAGUACGCUACAGUUGCGACUCAAGCUUGAACCAAAGGGAUGCUCUAUAUCCAAAAUAUUCUUAUAAAACAACGGAUAAAACUUUUCAGCAUCCCCAUCGAACGAUUUUAUAAGGUCUUUCACAAGAGCAUAAGACGGUAAAACAUUGUCAAGGCCACCAACUUUGAACAUUUUAAAUUCAUUGGUGAUUUCUGAUGGGUAACAUUCAUCACCAGCCAAUUUUGAAACAGCUUCUUCCAUAUAUUUUUUAAAAUACAGUGGAUGUAACAUCUUCUCAGCUUCCUUGAAAUCUCUAUCACCCGAUCCUGCAGAGUCACCUUUGUCGUGGUCACUAUGUUUCGCGUUGGUGUG